rnacentral:lncRNA from 1 species
UAUCAUCAAAAUAUCCUGAAAAAGAGAAGAGUAGAUGUGGCACUGAGGGAUGUGGGUCAGUUGGCACAGUGAUGAUGGGCUGAUGGUUGGACUGGGUGAUCUUAAUUGUGUUUUCCAACCUUGAUGAUUCUAUGGAAUUAAAACAUUUCCUUUUAAUGAAAUAGAAGUGGUUGAUGAAGUUUGCCAAGAACCAGUGAAAUAAAGGGCUUCUUGUUCACAGCUGUGGUUGCAGGAUGCCUACAGAUGAUGGCACGCCUUGAGGAUUUCCUUGCACAGACUUCAUCUUUGCAUCUAGUGGGAUGUUACCAGUCUGGAGAUGUUCACAUCACUGGAGUUCUUUUGCACUUCCAGCCAGAGGCAUCUGAAAUGCUGCUGGUGAGUUCAGUGCAUGCUUGAGCUGUGGGGAAAGCACAAAUGUGGCAAGAAGUUGACAGCAUCUGUUUGCUUGCUGACACCUCCAUCUGCUACAGAAGAGGGGAGGAGUGGGUUCCUUGGAUGUCAUAGUACAGUGAGUGGUUGUUGACUCUUCUGCCAGAUCAGGAACAGUCUGGG